rnacentral:rRNA from 1 species
UGGGGAAUAUUGGACAAUGGGCGAAAGCCUGAUCCAGCCAUGCCGCGUGUGUGAAGAAGGUCUUCGGAUUGUAAAGCACUUUAAGUUGGGAGGAAGAGCAGUUACCUAAUACGUGAUUGUUUUGACGUUACCGACAGAAUAAGCACCGGCUAACUCUGUGCCAGCAGCCGCGGUAAUACAGAGGGUGCAAGCGUUAAUCGGAAUUACUGGGCGUAAAGCGCGCGUAGGUGGUUAGUUAAGUUGGAUGUGAAAGCCCCGGGCUCAACCUGGGGACUGCAUCCAAAACUGGCAAGCAAGAGUAUAGUAGGAGGUGGUGGAAUUUCCUGUGUAGCGGUGAAAUGCGUAGGUAUAGGGAAGAACAACAGUGGCGAAGGCGACCACCUGGACUGAUACUGACACUGAGGUGCGAAAGCGUGGGGAGCAAACA